rnacentral:misc_RNA from 1 species
GAAAACUAUGAAGAAAGGUGAAAAAGUCCAGUUGACGGUGAAGCCACAGUAUGGCUUUGGGGAGAAAGGAAAACCAGCCUCAGGUGAUGGAGGAGCGGUCCCACCUAAUGCUCCACUGCAAAUUAGCUUGGAGUUGGUAACAUGGAAGAUUGUCUCAAGUGUAACUGACGAUAAGAAAGUAAUAAAGAAGAUCUUAAAAGAAGGGGAAGGAUUUGAGAAACCGAAUGAAGGGGCUGUGGUUAAAAUGAAAUUGAUCGGCAAGCUACAAGAUGGCACAGUCUUCAUAAAAAAGGGCCACAAUGGAGAAAAUGAAGACGAGCUUUUUGAGUUUAUGAUAGAUGAGGAACAAGUUAUUGAUGGGUUGGAUAGAGCUGCUAUGUCAAUGAAGAAGGGUGAAGUGGCACUGCUAAUAAUUGCACCUGAUUAUGCCUUCGGUCUGUCUGAAUCAAAGCAAGACUUAGGUGUUGUUCCUCCCAACUCAACUGUAUAUUAUGAGGUUGAGCUGGUUUCCUUUGUCAAGGAAAAGGAAUCAUGGGAUAUGAAUACACAGGAGAAAAUUGAGGCCACUGGUAAAAAGAAAGAGGAAGGAAAUGCUCUCUUCAAGGCUGGUAAGUAUGCAAGAGCAUCAAAGAGAUAUGAGAAGGCUGCUAAA